GCUAGGUGAAGGACCAGUCCUUUCCCUCUAGGAAAGCUCUGUCCACUUCUCUGAGGAAGCGAGGACGCAUGUGGGGUCCUGCAGCCUGUCCGCCACUGCCUUCCCCAGCUGCUGGAGACAGCGCACCGGAGGGCGCACCCCGCGUUCAGGUGGCAGUGUUGAAGCCAAAAGCUUCCAGAAGUGGUUUCCGAAGAAUAAAGAGUUGAAUGUAUAUGAGUAUGCAAACAUAGGAAUCCAAAAAAAAAAAAAAAAAAAAAAGCGAAAAACCAACAGCCUGUGACAGAUCAAGCCUAAUACCUUUCCAGCACUUCAGAAGAGUUCGUGCCUGAUCUAUUCGCUAUUCAUCUAGACUCCAUCAUAAAGGUUAUGCGAUUAGUGGAUCCCUUGAAUGAAUUGAGUGGUGCUUUGGCUAGUAUCCAGGAUUUCGCUAAAAUGAA